GACGAACGCUGGCGGCGUGCUUAACACAUGCAAGUCGAACGGUGAAGCUCCAGCUUGCUGGAGUGGAUCAGUGGCGAACGGGUGAGUAACACGUGAGCAACCUGCCCCUGACUCUGGAAUAAGCGCUGGAAACGGCGUCUAAUACUGGAUACGAGAAGGGUCCGCAUGGGCACUUUCUGGAAAGUUUUUCGGUUGGGGAUGGUCUCGCGGCCUAUCAGCUUGUUGGUGAGGUAAUGGCUCACCAAGGCGACGACGGGUAGCCGGCCUGAGAGGGCGACCGGCCACAAUGGGACUGAGACACGGCCCAGACUCCUACGGGAGGCAGCAGUGGGGAAUAUUGCACAAUGGGCGAAAGCCUGAUGCAGCGACGCCGCGUGAGGGAUGACGGCCUUCGGGUUGUAAACCUCUUUCAGCAGGGAAGAAGCGAAAGUGACGGUACCUGCAGAAGAAGCACCGGCUAACUACGUG
rnacentral:rRNA from 1 species